AUGAACGCUAGCGACAGGCUUAACACAUGCAAGUCGAGGGGUAACAGGGUAGCAAUACCGCUGACGACCGGCGCACGGGCGAGUAACGCGUAUGCAACCUGCCUAUAACUGGGGAAUAGCUCCCUGAAAGGGGGAAUUAACACCGCAUAACACUAUUGAUUCGCAUGGAUUAGUAGUUAAAUGUAGCGAUACAGGUUAUAGAUGGGCAUGCGUGACAUUAGCUAGUUGGUGAGGUAACGGCUCACCAAGGCUACGAUGUCUAGGGGUUCUGAGAGGAAGGUCCCCCCACACUGGUACUGAGACACGGACCAGACUCCUACGGGAGGCAGCAGUGAGGAAUAUUGGUCAAUGGGCGCAAGCCUGAACCAGCCAUGUCGCGUGCAGGAAGAACCUGCCCUAUGGGUUGUAAACUGCUUUUAUAGUAGAAGAAACACAUCUACGCGUAGAUGUCUGCCAGUAUACUAUGAAUAAGCAUCGGCUAACUCCGUGCCAGCCGCGGC
rnacentral:rRNA from 1 species